rnacentral:lncRNA from 1 species
UUCCACUUCUCCCGCUUCCACCUACUCUCUCACUUUCUACUGCCGGCGCCCGGCGGUGCAACCAGACAGUAACAGCUAACUCUGCCUCAAGACAUUUCCAAUCUAUUACAGUAAAAAUGUGAGCAACUUUACAUUAUAAUUAAUGCCAUACUCUCUCUCAGAUCCACAGUUGAACUCUUUAAUCUAUAACACUGCAAACCCCAUCAACACACACCAUACAUUUUGUAGCAGAAGAAGACGAAAUUGGAUGGAUCCUAAGGAAGAAAGGAAAAAACAUAAUAAACAAAUUAAUUAAUCCCUCUGCUCUGCUCUGCUAUUCUUCACCUCUCCAACACUCUGCCUUUCUUCAGAGGAAAGAAGGGCGGCAAUGCACUGUGAUGAUG